rnacentral:rRNA from 1 species
ACUCCUACGGGAGGCAGCAGUGGGGAAUAUUGCGCAAUGGGGGCAACCCUGACGCAGCCAUGCCGCGUGAGUGAAGAAGGCCUUAGGGUUGUAAAACUCUUUCAGUGGUGAAGAUAAUGACGGUAGCCACAGAAGAAGCCCCGGCCAACUCCGUGCCAGCAGCCGCGGUAAUACGGAGGGGGCUAGCGUUGUUCGGAAUUACUGGGCGUAAAGCGCGCGUAGGCGGACUGGUCAGUUGGGGGUGAAAUCCCGGGGCUUAACCUCGGAACUGCCUUCAAUACUGCCAGUCUUGAGUUCGAGAGAGGUAAGCGGAAUUCCUAGUGUAGAGGUGAAAUUCGUAGAUAUUAGGAAGAACACCGGUGGCGAAGGCGGCUUACUGGCUCGAUACUGACGCUGAGGCGCGAAAGCGUGGGGAGCAAACAGGAUUAGAUACCCUGGUAGCGAG